rnacentral:tRNA from 1 species
GCAGUCGUGGCCGAGUGGUUAAGGCGAUGGUCUCGAAAACCACUGGGGUUUCCCCGCACAGGUUCGAAUCCUGUCGACUGCG